UCAAAUUAAAAUCAUUCAUUCAUUUUGGGAGAUGAAAUGUACAUUUCAUCAAUCCCCUAAAUCCAAUGAUUUUAAUCCAACAAAAGUCAAAACAACCUUGACCAAGGCCUAUACGCAUAGUUAAACUUCAUAAGUCAAUAAAAAUGGCUCAACAUAAUUUCUACACAGUUAAUCAAUUAAAAAUCAAAUUAAAAUACAUUUAAAUUAAAUUAUGUUUGAUUAAAAACCUAAAACCUC
rnacentral:lncRNA from 1 species